UACGUAGGGUGCGAGCGUUAUUCGGAAUUACUGGGCGUAAAGCGUGCGUAGGCGGCUUUGCAAGUCAGAUGUGAAAUCCCCGGGCUUAACCUGGGAACUGCGUUUGUGACUGCAUGGCUGGAGUGCGGCAGAGGGGGAUGGAAUUCCGCGUGUAGCAGUGAAAUGCGUAGAUAUGCGGAGGAACACCGAUGGCGAAGGCAAUCCCCUGGGCCUGCACUGACGCUCAUGCACGAAAGCGUGGGGAGCAAACAGG
rnacentral:rRNA from 1 species